AGUGAACGCUGGCGGUAGGCCUAACACAUGCAAGUCGAACGGCAGCACAGGAGAGCUUGCUCUCUGGGUGGCGAGUGGCGGACGGGUGAGGAAUACAUCGGAAUCUACUCUGUCGUGGGGGAUAACGUAGGGAAACUUACGCUAAUACCGCAUACGACCUACGGGUGAAAGCAGGGGACCUUCGGGCCUUGCGCGAUUGAAUGAGCCGAUGUCGGAUUAGCUAGUUGGCGGGGUAAAGGCCCACCAAGGCGACGAUCCGUAGCUGGUCUGAGAGGAUGAUCAGCCACACUGGAACUGAGACACGGUCCAGACUCCUACGGGAGGCAGCAGUGGGGAAUAUUGGACAAUGGGCGCAAGCCUGAUCCAGCCAUACCGCGUGGGUGAAGAAGGCCUUCGGGUUGUAAAGCCCUUUUGUUGGGAAAGAAAUCCAUCUGGUUAACACCCGGAUGGGAUGACGGUACCCAAAGAAUAAGCACCGGCUAACUUCGUGCCAGCAGCCGCCGCGG
rnacentral:rRNA from 1 species